UAACGCCAGCUCAUUGUUUGCCUCGCUCAGAGGCCAUCCUUACCAUAAUAACACUACUGUAGGAGCAACGAAAGCCAGACGGCGACUGGCGGUA